rnacentral:rRNA from 1 species
UACGAAGGGGGCUAGCGUUGCUCGGAAUCACUGGGCGUAAAGGGUGCGUAGGCGGGUCUUUAAGUCAGGGGUGAAAUCCUGGAGCUCAACUCCAGAACUGCCUUUGAUACUGAGGAUCUUGAGUUCGGGAGAGGUGAGUGGAACUGCGAGUGUAGAGGUGAAAUUCGUAGAUAUUAGGAAGAACACCAGCGGCGAAGGCGGCCACCUGGACGGAUACUGACGCUGAGACGCGAAAGCGUGGGGAGCAAACAGG